rnacentral:lncRNA from 1 species
CUUGCAUUCUCGGACCUUGUUGACGAUGAAUUCUUGGAUGAGAAACCUGAUAUCUUCCAUGAGGCAGUCAUCAUAAAGAAGUCUGAAUAUCUUGGUUGAGAGCUAGACUUUGGAAACAGAGAGACCCUGUAUAAUAACAGACUAAGAAGUAAGGAAGACAAGCCCAGCCAGUCCCACAACUAUUUCAUUAAUACCAGGUAAAGCAACAGACCUGCCAGUGAAGCAUCUUGGAUCCUUUAGCUUUAGAUUAUUUGCCUUUCCCAUUGUGCCAGUCUUCAUCAUAGCAAUGAGUUGGAGUUUUAAUUAAAUGAAAAAGAGCAUACCAAGUCAAAUCUUCUGCAAUUAAUUGCAUGUGGCA